rnacentral:rRNA from 1 species
AUUGAACGCUGGCGGCAUGCUUUACACAUGCAAGUCGAACGGCAGCGCGGGCUUCGGCCUGGCGGCGAGUGGCGAACGGGUGAGUAAUACAUCGGAACGUACCCAGGAGUGGGGGAUAACGCAGCGAAAGCUGCGCUAAUACCGCAUACGCCCUACGGGGGAAAGCAGGGGACCGCAAGGCCUUGUGCCCAUGGACCGGCCGAUGUCUGAUUAGCUAGUUGGUAGGGUAAGGGCCUACCAAGGCGACGAUCAGUAGCUGGUCUGAGAGGACGACCAGCCACACUGGAACUGAGACACGGUCCAGACUCCUACGGGAGGCAGCAGUGGGGAAUUUUGGACAAUGGGGGCAACCCUGAUCCAGCAAUGCCGCGUGAGUGAAGAAGGCCUUCGGGUUGUAAAGCUCUUUUGUCGGGGAAGAAACGGCUGUGGCUAAUAUCCACGGCUAAUGACGGUACCUGAAGAAUAAGCACCGGCUAACUACGUGCCAGCCGCCGCCGUAACAC